GAAAUGUUAAUAAAGAAUUUCCAGUGACUUUUGGCAGUGGAGCUGGAAUGCAUGGAGAACUGGAGCUACAGAGAACCAGAAAGAGGCAGUCUGUAGGCAGAGAGAUAGCAGUUGUGUGUACCUCACGGCCAACUCCCAAGAGAUUUUUUAUUUAACUUCUCCAAAUCCUGGUGUGAGUGUGGCAAGAGCUCAAUGGAGACCAUCAAGGAUUCUAAUGAAAGAUAGAUGUUAAUACAAGCCCCACUUGUUCCUCGGGAUCUUCAAGUGUCACUCCUCUCCCGCACAUUCCCUCUGAUUGUCCAGGGACUUCCUACUCAACACUAGAAAAGAAGAAACAGUGGGGCUGAGAGUGUUCUACAAGUUCCUACAAUCAUGUAAGAUUGAUUCAUGUAUACAUCUCUGAUUCUACAUUAUUU
ensembl:lncRNA